UCUUUUUAUUUGUGAAAAAAAUAGGCCCAUCCCAUCCCAUGGCCCCACGCAAGCCCAAACAAAUACCACAACAAUAAAGUCAAAACACGUGAACCGAUAUCUGGCAUUAUAGGGGCUCUCACAACAUUACUGCGCUGCUCAAUAAGUGCAUCUUGUCAUUCGACAUGUUCGAAGAUAUCAUUAAAGCACCAUGUUUUUUGAGGAUAUGGAAGAAAUCUAAGUGAGUGCAUGUGAUUCUUGAGAUUGUUUAAACUUUGCUGGAACUGAAACCUUCAAGCAGUUCCCUGAACGAAUCAGGAAUUAAUUUUCAAAUGUACUCAAACUUAGGAUGGUAGACUCCCAGAUGAAUCAUUUUAAUUAACUACUGGACAGUUGCUGGCUCGUUUUUACUUGCACUGGAAUUAUCCGGAUAAAUUAAGAGAAGUGAGCCAACAUGAAUUUGCCACCGAGCCCGAAUAGUCCGAAAACCACACACAAAUUCCUUCAAACUCUCAAAAAUUCGCCUUCACUAUUACGGAAACGAUUUAUGCAUUCCGACUCUGACUUAUACGGCGAAGGAGCAGCUUCAAAGGAGCGGUCAUUCCAUGUGCGUUACGGAGGACGCGUUCCGGUGCGGUCACUUCGGGUGUGUGACGCGGUUACCGCGGUCGACAAACUAGCGCCCUUGACCAACGCCAAACAACUCCAUCACCAACCAUUCCACGCGUCGUGUACGUUGCGCGUGGACAAAUGCACGAUUACGUUUGAGGACCAGUCCCGCGACGUGCUCGAAUCAUUACCGCUGUUUUGUAUCGCAUAUUGUGCAACAGAUCUCAGGCAUCCACGCGCUGUGGCGCUUACGUCAAAGACAAACGAUUCGAUUCAUUGUUACGUAUUUGAAGUGACGACGCGCGAGAAGGCGUCGGAGAUCGUUAGCACUGUGAGGAGUGCUUUCGAAGCUGCCUGGGAGGAUUGGAAAAGAAGUAAUCCAGACGGGGGAGAUCCGAGAGAAAACCAGAUAAAACUUGUUCCUCCAAGUCAUGUG